GCAUUUUGGGAGGCCAAGGUGGGAGGACCACUUGAGCUCAGGAGUUCGAGACCAGCCCGAGCAACAUGGUGAAACCUUGUCUCUACAAAAGAUACAAAAAUUAGCCGACAUGGUGGUGUGUGUCUGUGGUCCCAGCUGCUCAGAAGGCUGAGCUGGGACUACAGGCAUGCACCACCACACCUGAUUUAAUUUCCUGUAGAGACGGG
rnacentral:lncRNA from 1 species